AUUGAACGCUGGCGGCAUGCCUUACACAUGCAAGUCGAACGGCAGCACGGGAGCAAUCCUGGUGGCGAGUGGCGAACGGGUGAGGUAAUAUAUCGGAACGUGCCCAGUCGUGGGGAUAACGUAGCGAAAGCUACGCUAAUACCGCAUACGAUCUAUGGAUGAAAGCGGGGGAUCGCAAGACCUCGCGCGAUUGGGAGCGGCCGAUAUCAGAUUAGGUAGUUGGUGAGGUAAAGGGCUCACCAAGCCGACGAUCUGAAGCUGGUCUGAGAGGACGACCAGCCACACUGGGA
rnacentral:rRNA from 1 species